UACGAAGGGGGGCUAGCGUUGCUCGGAAUCACUGGGCGUAAAGCGCACGUAGGCGGCUUCUUAAGUCAGGGGUGAAAUCCUGGAGCUCAACUCCAGAACUGCCUUUGAUACUGAGAGGCUCGAGUCCGGGAGAGGUGAGUGGAACUCCGAGUGUAGAGGUGAAAUUCGUAGAUAUUCGGAAGAACACCAGUGGCGAAGGCGGCUCACUGGCCCGGUACUGACGCUGAGGUGCGAAAGCGUGGGGAGCAAACAGG
rnacentral:rRNA from 1 species